CCGAUUGACGACGACGAGCUGAUCUCCUACAUCAUCGCCAACCUCGACAUGGAGUACCAGCCCCUCGUCUCGGCCAAUGAAGUCCUCACUGAGAGCAUCAGCCUCAGACGACGUCUUUGCUCAGAUGAGCAACUUUAACC
rfam:Triticum aestivum genome assembly, contig: Triticum_aestivum_CS42_TGACv1_scaffold_641283_T_5BL-0.345098_2BL-0.192057